AAAGGAGGACAACCUUGAAGAUCUUGCUUGGAGAAGCUUAGAUCGUUAUUAGGUUAGCUUAGGUUCUCUCAUUGGCUUGGGAGAACAAUUGCGCUAGGGGCCAUAACUGUUUCAUUGUGUAUGUAUGUUGAUGCAUGUGAAUGUAUGUGAAUGUAUGUUGAUGCAUGUGAGAGACGAUUUAUAUGAUAAACAAGUCGGUGAGAUCAGUAUAAUUGCAAUUCCCUCAAAAUUAAAUAUUAAGUUUAUGCUUUC
rnacentral:lncRNA from 1 species